CUGAAUGCAAGAAAGAAAAAGAAAAGAGAUAAAUGAAACAGAGAAUGUAUUGUAAGUACCAAGUUCAGGUAUAUUUAUU
rnacentral:ribozyme from 1 species